CAGCCAUCCAGUCACCAUGAAGAUCCUGUAUCUGGUGUUUUUGAUGCUCUUUGUGAUCUCCUAUGCUGGCACAGGGUAUGGCGGAUUAUUUACAAAUUUCCGAUGUGAUCUGCUUGGGGGUGUUUGUAUAGAAGGAUUUUGUAGAUAUCCUGUUUUGAAACUUGGUACCUGUAAGACAAAAGAAAAGAAGAUGUGUUGUAUAAAAGAAUAUACAAGUGACUGAUGCCACAGGGGAAAAACUGAAGGUUAUAGCCACUGGAGAGUUCUCAGGGAGCAAGAGUAUGUCCAGCACAUUGUGCAAAGGAUAUCUAUCCUCUCUAUAUCUAUUAUAUAUCUAUAAGCUACAGGGCUUAGAGGGGAAAGGAGAAUUUCCUAGACUCAAGACAAAGCUCAAAAAAUAACAAUGUCAGACCUGUGACCAGAGACACUACCCUCUACACCCCAGAACUAAAGGUGAUUAUAAUAACAAGUUGAUAUAAAAAAGACAAAACAAAAAUGACUUAAGGAGAAAGAACCCAACCAUUGACAGUUAUUAUAGGCAUAGAGAAGAUCUGAGGUUUGUCUUCAGAGAAUUCUAAAGCAAAAACAUAAAAAAGUCUCUUCUAUGCCAAAGAAUAACAUCAAAUGAUCAUCUACCCAAAAAGAAUUCAUAGAAGAAUUAAAAAAAAAAAACUAAAAAUCAAAUUAUUGAGGAAAAAUUAAAAAAAAUAAGAAGAACCUCCCCAAAACAAGAUAAUGAAAAGAAAAUCAAUCUAAUGGAAAAGGAAAUCCAAAAUCUCCUUGAAAAUUAGGAAUGGGCAUGGGUAAACUAUAGUGAAGUAGAGUAAAAAAUAAAAUAAAAUAUAAAGAAUGAAAAAAUAGAAGAGAAUGUGAACUAUCUCAUAAGAAACAUAACUGAUCUGGAGAACGAUCAAGAAGAGAAAACAAAGAAUAAUCAAAUUACUUGAAAGCUAUUGUUAAAAAUCAUGAUUAAAAAAUACAAGAAAUAUUUAAACAAAAUUGUCCAGAAGUGUUAGUGGAAGAGUGGAAAAUAGAAAAAGAAGAAAACACACUGAUCACCAUCUGAACGAAAUACUUAGAGGAAAGCCUACAGGAAUAUCAUUGCUAAAUUGCAGUCCUCCCCCCCUCUUCCCCUGAAAAUAUUAUGAGCAGCAAGAAAAAAGAAAAACAAUUCAAAUACUGCAAAGCUACAAAAGACUUCACACUAUAUAUUGAAAAGCAAAAGAAUGUAACUUAUGGCCAAAAAUUAAAGCAAAGUUAUGCAUGAACCUGAACAACCAAAGAAAUAUUCAAGGAUAUUCAAGGAGUUGCCAGGUUUUUAGGAUUUUAUUACCAAAAAACCUGUACUUAAUAGAAAAUUUGACAUACAAGAUCCAAGAGGUAAGGUAAAUGGCAAAGACGAAAUACAAGGGAUUCAAUAAAGACAAGUGAUUUAUUUUUUAUACAUGGGAAGGUAAACCUUAUUUAUAUUGGUAAUUGGGUAAUGCAAAGGAAAGAUUGGGAGUAGAGCUGAGUAUAAUAUGAUUUGAAAAAGCAAAACCAUAUAGGAAAAGGUAAAAAGAGUGAUUAUCUCAUACAAAUGAAGUGCAAGAGGAAGAACUGAUUAUAGAUAGCUAUGU